rnacentral:rRNA from 1 species
CUUGCUUCUCUUGAGAGCGGCGGACGGGUGAGUAAUGCCUAGGAAUCUGCCUGGUAGUGGGGGAUAACGUUCGGAAACGGACGCUAAUACCGCAUACGUCCUACGGGAGAAAGCAGGGGACCUUCGGGCCUUGCGCUAUCAGAUGAGCCUAGGUCGGAUUAGCUAGUUGGUGGGGUAAUGGCUCACCAAGGCGACGAUCCGUAACUGGUCUGAGAGGAUGAUCAGUCACACUGGAACUGAGACACGGUCCAGACUCCUACGGGAGGCAGCAGUGGGGAAUAUUGGACAAUGGGCGAAAGCCUGAUCCAGCCAUGCCGCGUGUGUGAAGAAGGUCUUCGGAUUGUAAAGCACUUUAAGUUGGGAGGAAGGGUUGUAGAUUAAUACUCUGCAAUUUUGACGUUACCGACAGAAUAAGCACCGGCUAACUCUGUGCCAGCAGCCGCGGUAAUACAGAGGGUGCAAGCGUUAAUCGGAAUUACUGGGCGUAAAGCGCGCGUAGGUGGUUUGUUAAGUUGGAUGUGAAAUCCCCGGGCUCAACCUGGGAACUGCAUUCAAAACUGACUGACUAGAGUAUGGUAGAGGGUGGUGGAAUUUCCUGUGUAGCGGUGAAAUGCGUAGAUAUAGGAAGGAACACCAGUGGCGAAGGCGACCACCUGGACUAAUACUGACACUGAGUGCGAAAGCGUGGGGAGCAAACAGGAUUAGAUACCCUGGUAGUCCACGCCGUAAACGAUGUCAACUAGCCGUUGGAAGCCUUGAGCUUUUAGUGGCGCAGCUAACGCAUUAAGUUGACCGCCUGGGGAGUA